AGAGUUUGAUCCUGGCUCAGGAUGAACGCUAGCGACAGGCCUAACACAUGCAAGUCGAGGGGCAGCGAGCCGUAGCAAUACGGUGUCGGCGACCGGCGAAUGGGUGAGUAACGCGUAUGCAACCUUUCCGCAAAACGGGGACAGCCUUCCGAAAGGGAGAUUAAUACCUGAUGGUCUUGCCGGACCGCAUGGUUUGGCAAGUAAAAAUUUAUUGAUUGCGGGUGGGCAUGCGUCCCAUUAGGCAGUUGGCGGGGUAACGGCCCACCAAACCGACGAUGGGUAGGGGUUCUGAGAGGAAAAUCCCCCACAUUGGAACUGAGACACGGUCCAAACUCCUACGGGAGGCAGCAGUGAGGAAUAUUGGUCAAUGGGCGUAAGCCUGAACCAGCCAAGUCGCGUGCGGGACGAAGGCCCUACGGGUCGUAAACCGCUUUUGUACGGGAAUAAAGUCAGGGACGCGUCCCUGUUUGUAGGUACCGUAAGAAUAAGGAUCGGCUAACUCCGUGCCAGCAGCCGCGGUAAUACGGAGGAUCCGAGCGUUAUCCGGAUUUAUUGGGUUUAAAGGGUGCGCAGGCGGCCUGUUAAGUCAGCGGUGAAAUCUCGGGGCUCAACCCCGGAACUGCCGUUGAUACUGGUAGGCUUGAGUGCGGAUAAGGAUGGCGGAAUGUGUCAUGUAGCGGUGAAAUGCUUAGAUAUGCCACAGAACACCGAUUGCGAAGGCAGCUGUCCGGGCCGUAACUGACGCUGAGGCACGAAAGCGUGGGUAUCGAACAGGAUUAGAUACCCUGGUAGUCCACGCAGUAAACGAUGAUCACUAGCUGUAGGCGAUACGCUGUCUGCGGCCGAGCGAAAGUGUUAAGUGAUCCACCUGGGGAGUACGUUCGCAAGAAUGAAACUCAAAGGAAUUGACGGGGACCCGAAAAAGCGGUGGAGCAUGUGGUUUAAUUCGAAGCAACGCGAAGAACCUUACCAGAUCUUGACAUCCCGAUGACCGCUCUUUAAUCGGAGCUUCUCUUCGGAGCAUCGGAGACAGGU
rnacentral:rRNA from 1 species